rnacentral:rRNA from 1 species
CAAAAGCGUAUAUUAACAUUGUUGCAGUUAAAAAGCUCGUAGUCGAAUGUAUGACCAAGCGGAUCCUGCCCACUCUCUAGUAGGGUGCGUGUCGGUGAGGCAGGUCAUAUCUCGGAAGAGCACUUCUGCCCUUGAUUGGGUGGUUGUGUGAUUCUGAGCAUUUACUGUGAACAAAUCAAAGUGUUCAAAGCAGGCUCUUGUAUGCCCGAAUGGUUCAGCAUGGAAUAAUAAGAUAAGGCUUCGGUUUUGUCUUGUUGGCUAUAAAACCAAAGUAAUGAUUAAUAGGGAUGUUUGGGGGUGCUAGUAUUCAAUGGUUAGCGGUGAAAUGCGAUGACCCAUUGAAGACUGACUAAUGCGAAAGCAUUCACCAAGGGCAUUUUCUUUGA